rnacentral:tRNA from 1 species
UACUUAAAAGUUUUAAACUUCCCUAACAUCUUCAAUAUUAUACUCUAAUUAUAAGCUAUUUAAGU